rnacentral:rRNA from 2 species
GGGGAAACCCAGUGUGACUCGUCACACUAUCAUUAACUGAAUCCAUAGGUUAAUGAGGCGAACCGGGGGAACUGAAACAUCUAAGUACCCCGAGGAAAAGAAAUCAACCGAGAUUCCCCCAGUAGCGGCGAGCGAACGGGGAGGAGCCCAGAGCCUGAAUCAGCAUGUGUGUUAGUGGAAGCGUCUGGAAAGGCGCGCGAUACAGGGUGACAGCCCCGUACACAAAAGCGCAUGUGCUGUGAGCUCGAUGAGUAGGGCGGGACACGUGGUAUCCUGUCUGAAUAUGGGGGGACCAUCCUCCAAGGCUAAAUACUCCUGACUGACCGAUAGUGAACCAGUACCGUGAGGGAAAGGCGAAAAGAACCCCGGCGAGGGGAGUGAAAAAGAACCUGAAACCGU